AUGGUGUCCCAGAAUCAGAGGACGCCGGGAGACCAGGUGUUCUGGCCCAAGGUGGUGCUCAAGAAAUGGCUCAACCUCAGGAGCAAGGACGCCAAGUUCAACGCCGACGAGGACGACGGCGACGACGACGGGGAGCAAGAGGAGAGCUGCGGCUGCGACGGCGCCGAGGCGGAGCGCGAGGCCGGAGGCGUGGACAUCGCCGAGGAGAGCCUGGACGCCGCGCCGUACAAGCUGCGGCGGCGGAACUCGGAGACGAUGCGCGCGCAGUACAUCAGCACCAAGGAGCUCAGGAUCUGCAUUGGCACGUACAACGCCGCCGGCAUAGAGCCGCCGGAAGGCCUCGACAUCGCCGAGUGGCUCGGCACCACCGGCGGCGAGCAGGCCGACAUGUACGUGCUCGGGUUCCAGGAGGUGGUGCCGCUCAACGCCGGCAACGUGCUCGGCGCCGAGGACGUCCGGCCGGCGCUGGCGUGGGAGGCGCUGAUACGUGACACGCUCACGCGGACCCAGCCGUCCUGCUCGAGGCCCAAGUACAGGUACCGCAGCCACCCGGCCACCCCGACCCGCGACGGCUCCGACGAGCUGUUCCCCGGCGGCACCGACACCGACACCGACGACGACGCACCCUUCAGCUUCCCGGUGUACCCCGAGGAGUACGUGGCCGCCACCCCCAGGAUGCUCGGGGCCAUGGAGGACCUAGAGGACGAGCAGCCAAGGGCGCAGCAGAGGGCGCUCCUGAAGACGAUGAGCAAGACGGACAGGAUCGGGCUCGCCUGGCCGGAGCAGCCGCUGGACCUGAUGGCCACCGCGUCCUUGUCAUCGGCGUCGUUCAAGUCGCCGAGAUCGUUCGGCGCGCACAGGUCGUUCGUGAAGUCCAGGGUCGCCGCCGACGACUGCCCGGCCAUGGUCCCUGACCUGGACCUCGACCUCGACGGCGAGGCCGCGCGUGGUCAUGGGAAGAAGAAGGGCGGCGGCAGGUCGCCGUUCGUGAGGAUCGUAAGCAAGCAGAUGGUGGGCGUGUUCCUGACCAUCUGGGUGCGACGCGGCCUGCGGAGGUGCGUCCAGAACAUCAAGGUGUCCACCGUGGGCGUGGGCGCCAUGGGCUACAUCGGCAACAAGGGGUCGGUGUCGGCGAGCAUGUCCAUCUACCAGACCAUGUUCUGCUUCGUGUGCACCCACCUGUCCGCCGGCGAGCGGCCCGGCAACCUCCUCAAGCGGAACGCCGACGUGCAGGAGAUCCACCGGCGGACCCGCUUCGCCGGCCCCGGCGGCCUCGAGCUGCCCAGAGACAUCUACGACCACGAGAGGAUUUUCUGGCUGGGCGAUCUGAACUACCGGAUCGACGUGCCGUACGACAGAACCCACAGCCUGAUCGCCGCCAUGGACUGGCCUCAGCUAGCCGAAAAAGAUCAGCUGAAGCGGGAGCUGAGGAAGGGGCGGGCGUUCGAGGGGUGGAGCGAGGGGGUGCUGGAGUUCGCGCCGACGUACAAGUACGAGGUCGGGACGGGCAAGUACAUCGGCGACGACCAGAAGGGCGGGAGGAGGACGCCGGCGUGGUGCGACCGGGUGCUGUCGUUCGGGAAGGGGGUGAGGCUGCUGGGGUACGGCAGGUCGGAGCUGACGCUGUCGGACCACAAGCCGGUGACGGCGACGUACGCGGCGGAGGUCGAGGUGUUCUGCGGCAGGAAGCUGCAGCGGGCUCUCACGCUCACGGACGCCGAGGUGGAUAGCGGGGACGUGGUCGUGCCGGACCUCGAGUUUUGA
rnacentral:rRNA from 1 species